rnacentral:rRNA from 1 species
UACGUAGGGGGCAAGCGUUGUCCGGAAUCAUUGGGCGUAAAGAGCGCGUAGGCGGCCCUGUAAGUCCGCUGUGAAAGUCAAGGGCUCAACCCUUGGAUGCCGGUGGAUACUGCAGGGCUAGAGUCCGGAAGAGGCGAGUGGAAUUCCUGGUGGUAGCGGUGAAAUGCGCAGAUAUCAGGAGGAACACCGAUGGCGAAGGCAGGUCUCUGGGCCAUAACUGACGCUGAGAAGCGAAAGCAUGGGGAGCAAACAGG